rnacentral:rRNA from 1 species
CCUACGGGCGGCAGCAGUGAGGAAUAUUGGUCAAUGGCCGCAAGCCUGAACCAGCCAAGUCGCGUGAAGGAUGACUGCCCUACGGGUUGUAAACUUCUUUUAUAAAGGAAUAAAGUUAUGCACGUGUGCCUUUUUGUAUGUACUUUAUGAAUAAGCAUCGGCUAACUCCGUGCCAGCAGCCGCGGUAAUACGGAGGAUGCGAGCGUUAUCCGGAUUUAUUGGGUUUAAAGGGAGCGUAGAUGGGUUGUUAAGUCAGCUGUGAAAGUUUGUGGCUCAACCGUAAAAUUGCAGUUGAUACUGGCAGCCUUGAGUACAGUUGAGGUAGGCGGAAUUCGUGGUGUAGCGGUGAAAUGCUUAGAUAUCACGAAGAACUCCGAUUGCGAAGGCAGCCUACUAAAC